UUGAUGUGUAAAUUUAGGUUGUGUUUGAAUGUUGAACUGAACUCAGUUGAGUUGAGUUCUUUAUGAAUAGUAGUGAGUUAAAUAGUAAAGAGAAUUAUGUGAGACCCAUAUAAACUGAGUUUAAAAUAUGUUUAGAUGUUAAGAUGAGUUCAGUACUUUUUAUCAGAAAUUAAAAAAGGUUAUGGGUCUCACGUAUAAAGAUAUUUUAAGUUGAAAAAAGUUAUGGG